GCAGGGGCUUGGGCAGGAGCAAGGUCCGAGGGCUGCCAGGUCCACGCUGCUUUUAUGAGCUGUAACACUCACCGCGAAGAUCUGCAGCUUCACUCCUGAGCCCAGCGAGACCACGAGCCCACCGGGAGGAACAAACAACUCCAGACGCGCUGCCUUAAGAGCUGUAACACUUGCCGUGAAGGUCUGCAGCUUCACUCCUGAGCCAGCGAGACCACGAACCCACCAGAAGGAAGAAACUCCGAACACAUCUCAACAUCAGAACGGACAGACUCCAGACGCACCACCUUAAGAGCUGUAACACUCACCGCGAGGUUCCGCGGCUUCAUUCUUGAAAACACCAGGUGCCAGAAGACCAAACAUGCUGGCAGAUGGAAAGAAGAGGAGUGAAGAUUCACUCUCCCUUGACCAAGAUCAGAGUUCGUGAGCCACACAUCUCCCCACACCAAGCUCCUCCAUACAAGACCUCGGACUGCAUCACGUAAAUGCUUUUUCAGGGGCAAAAUCUAGAGAAUCUGAAACGAGCUAUCAGCUUCCCAGUUUGCACAAUUCAUCAAGAAAUUAUGCGGGGUCACUGGCACAAAUGAUGAGGCAUCUCCUGGAAGCUUAACUUCUUAUCCAUCCCAUCUCUUGGACAGAUGAUGCCAGUUAAUUACUUUGAAUCCAGGUGCUCACCUUCUAGCACAUU
rnacentral:lncRNA from 10 species